GCUAAUCAAGCUUAGUGAUAGCUGGUUCUCCGCGAAAUCUAUGUAAGUAGAGAUAUUUUUUUUUAUUUUUACAGGUAAAGUAAUUUUUUUUACUCGAGGGGGUAAAAGGAAACCUAAGAAUUGUAAAAAUAUUUUAUAAAUAAACAGACUUUCGGCGCUAAGGUUGUAAGUCGAGAGGGAAACAGCCCAGAUUGUCGGAUAAAGUUGUUAAUUAUUAUUAAUAUAAAGGUUGUAGCAGGGUUAGGUACAAGAGGUGGGUUUAGAAGCAGCCAUCCUUUAAAGAAAGCGUAAAAGCUCAAUGUACCCACGUAAUUAAUUUAUUUAAUAUUAGACGUCACUAUGAUCACAAAUUAAUGCAAAAAUAAAUAAACUGAAUCCACAACAACCAAAUGGUUGGGUAGCGGAGCGAUUACUAUAUCGUUGAAGCAAAAAUGAUAAUUUUUGUAGAGAUAUGUAAUUUGAUUAUGUUAACAUGAGUAAUAAAUAUCCUGUGAGAAACAGGUUCGUCUAAUAAUAUAUGGUUUUGCCGUUAAGAUAAUCUUACGGUAAUAAUUUGAACCGGAUUCUAAGUAAUUGACUUUAGUUAAUUAUGAUGAAAUAUUUACCUAACUUGUACUUAAAUUGCAAUAUAAAAAUAUAUUCUGAUUUAAUUAUAACUGGAAAAAAGUAAAUUAUAACCGUACAAAAACUAACACAAGUUAUUUGGCUGAGUAAGCUGAGACGAAAGAAGUAAUAGUAUUAAAGGAACUCUGCAAAAUUACUUUGUAACUUCGGGAUAAAAAGUAUCGAUAAGAUUAAGAAAAGAGGGGGUAGCGACUGUUUAAUAAAAACAUAAGACUUUGCAAAAUAGAAAUAUGAUGUAUAAAGUCUGACACCUGCCCAGUGCUGCAAGGUGAAAUAUUUUUAUUUACGUAAAAAUAAUAAACCCCAGUAAACGGCGGCCGUAACCCUGACGGUCCUAAGGUAGCAAAAUCCCUUGACGGGUAAGUUCCGUCCUGCACGAAUGGUGUAACGACUGCCCCACUGUCUCUAAUACUAAUUCUAUGAAAUUGAAGUUAUCGUGAAGAUGCGAUAAAGUACAGCUAGACGGAGAGACCCUAUGCACCUUUACUACUAUCAAAUUAAAGUGAAAAUAAAUAAAAAUAUAGAUAUGUAGGAGCUUCUGUGAGCAUGGAAAACUACUUUUUUAUUAAUUUAAUUUCGUCGGGAAACUGAUUUAUAGUUUGAGAGGUAGUUUGGCUGGGGCGGCCGCCUCCUAAAUAGUACCGGAGGUGUGCAUAUGACUUAAUUUAUGCUACCGCAAAGAUAUUCAAUAAAUUGAUAAUUAAGUUUGAUUUAUACACUUACAAGUGUAUAAAGGGUGAGAGCCUGCUAUAAUGACCCGGUAUGACAAAAAGGCAGUCAUAUCGAUUAACGAAUAAAAGGUACGCUAGGGAUAACAGGCUUAUGUUUUCCGAGAGUCCACAUUGAAGAAAACGUUUGGCACCUCGAUGUCGGCUCAUCAUAACCUGGUGGUGCAUCUGCUGCCAAGGGUUCGGCUGUUCGCCGAUUAAAAUGGUACGUGAGCUGGGUUUAAAACGUCGUGAGACAGUUUGGUCCCUAUCUACUGUACAAAAAGAAUAGUAAAUUAUUUUUACCUCAGUACGAGAGGACCGGGGACACGAAGCCAACUGUUUAGCAAUUGUUUUUUGCAAGUUGCGAGGCUGCGCUUAUUAAAUUGUAACCACUGCGGUGGGAACUUGGUAAUUAUACUGUUCUAAUAGAAAAAUUUUAGAUAAAUUUUUUGUAUAACAGAUGUUGAUUUAAUUUUAUGUUAAAUCACAGGUGAAAAAAUAGAGAUAUUUUAGCCUAAAUGUUAUGUUUUACUAAUAUAA
rnacentral:rRNA from 1 species